rnacentral:tRNA from 1 species
GGUUCCAUAGUGUAGCAGUUAGCAUGUAUGCUUUACACGCAGAAGGUCCUGGGUUCACGUCCCAGUGGAGCCA